rnacentral:tRNA from 1 species
GAGGUUGUGGUUCAGUGGUAGAGUGCUCUCCUAGCAUGGGUGGGGCACUGGGUUUGAUCCUCAGCACCACA